UACGGAGGGUGCAAGCGUUGUCCGGAAUCACUGGGCCUAAAGCGCACGUAGGCGGCCAACUAAGUCAGGUGUGAAAGCCCCCGGCUCAACCGGGGAAUUGCUCCUGAUACUGGUUGGCUAGAGGACGGUAGGGGUGAGUGGAACUCCAGGUGGAGCGGUGAAAUGCGUAGAUAUCUGGAGGAACACCGGUGGCGAAAGCGGCUCACUGGACCGUGUCUGACGCUGAGGUGCGAAAGCUAGGGUAGCGAACGGG
rnacentral:rRNA from 1 species